UACGAAGGGUGCAAGCGUUACUCGGAAUUACUGGGCGUAAAGCGUGCGUAGGUGGUUCGUUAAGUCUGAUGUGAAAGCCCUGGGCUCAACCUGGGAAUGGCAUUGGAUACUGGCGACCUAGAGUGCGGUAGAGGGUGGCGGAAUUCCCGGUGUAGUGGUGAAAUGCGCAGAUAUCAGGAAGAACACCUAUGGCGAAGGCAGCUCUCUGGGACGGUACUGACGCUGAGACGCGAAAGCGUGGGGAGCGAACAGG
rnacentral:rRNA from 1 species